ACUGCUCAGUAACACGUGGCUAACUGCCCUUAGGACGAGAACAACCCCCGGGAAACUGGGGCUAACUCUCGAUAGGCGAAGAACUCUGGAAUGAGUCUUCACCUAAAUAGUUCAGCGUUACGCUCGUUGAACCGCCUAAGGAUGAGGCCGCGACCGAUCAGGUCGUUGGUGAGGUAAUGGCUCACCAAGCCUUUUACCGGUGCGGGCCGUGAGAGCGGGAGCCCGGAGAUGGGCACUGAGACAAGGGCCCAGGCCCUACGGGGCGCAGCAGUCACGGAAACUUUGCAAUACACGAAAGUGUGACAGGGCUAUCCCGAGUGCCAUCCGCUGAGGAAGGCUUUUACCCAGUCUAGAAAGCUGGGGGAAUAAGGAGAGGGCAAGUCUGGUGUCAGCCGCCGCGGUAAUACCAGCUCUCCGAGUGGUGUGGAUGUUUAUUGGGCCUAAAGCAUACGUAGCUGGCUAAGUUAGUCCCUUGUUAAAUCCACCGAAUUAAUCGUUGGAUUGCGGGGGAUACUGCUUGGCUAGGGGACGAGAGAGGCAGACGGUAUUUUCGGGGUAGGGGUGAAAUCCUAUAAUCCCGGGAAGACCACCAGUGGCGAAGGCUGUCUGCUAGAACGCGCCCGACGGUGAGGGAUGAAAGCUGGGGGAGCGAACCGGAUUAGAUACCCGGGUAGUCCCAGCUGUAAACGAUGCGGGCUAGGUGUUUGGACGGCCACGUGCCGUUCUAGUGCCGCAGGGAAGCUGUUAAGCCUGCCGCCUGGGGAGUACGAUCGCAAGAUCGAAACUUAAAGGAAUUGGCGGGGGAGCAC
rnacentral:rRNA from 1 species